CAGAAUAGUUGGAAUUCUUACAUGGUGUCAGAGCUCCAAGGCCACGUUCCAAGAGAGAGCCAGCUAAAUAACCUCUCUCAGCUCUGGCCUGCUACCACCUGGAAUCCACAAUGUGGAAGAGUGUUUGUUUUCAUCAAAAUUCAUCUAUCUGGUUGAGAAUUCCAACUAAACUGUCAGUAGCCAGCCUGGGAGGAACGGUGCAAUCAUCUGCCAAGGGCUUAAAUUUUACUUGUUUUCAGUGAGAGUGAAGAGAUGGGAAUAAUGUCUCAGCAACUGGUUUUCUGGCCCUGACAUCUGCUUAGUCCUCCUUGGUGUCAUCACCUAUUUGGGUUAUGACCAUGUCUGUUUGACCCAAACAUCGUUCAUUCCUGGAGACAAACCCUGCUGUAACUGCAGGGGCGUGAUGCAUAGUGGUGGAGAGUUGCAGAGUCAGCCAGUCUCCAUGCUCCCCUUGCAGUAACCAACUAAUCCUGUCGAUAGAACCAUGCUCUACAUAAUAGUCGAAAGAUUGCCCUUAGUAUUUAACAAUAUACAGGUAUCCCCUGCUUUUCAAAAGUUUGCUUUAUGCUACUUCGAUUUUAUGAAAAACCUACAUUAGUACCUGUUUUUACUAACUGAAAGAAAUCCAGAGGAUUUCCACUUUUAUGAAAAAAGGCAAAAAACAAAAAUAGCAUUCAGUGUUUGUUUUGCAGUGAGCCGUCAUAGAGGCAAUGCAUACUCUGAGCAGCAAGAGUGGCACCGCCAAGCUCCUUUCCUGGGAACUACACUCAUCAUCUCAGCAUCAAGCUGCCAUAGCUUUGAACUGUGUCUGUGAGCAUCAGUGCUUUAUCUUGAUUUAUUUUGUGUGUCCAUUAGCAAGAUGUGUCGUAAAGUAAUUGCUUCUUUGCUUUACGAGACUUUGGCUUACGAAAGAUUUCAUAGGCAUGCUCUACUUUCAGAUAGCAGGGGAAACCUGUGUUCAGGAUAUAUUUCCAGGUUAUCCACUUCAUUCUUUUCUUUUUUUUUUUUUUGUGAGGAAGAUUAGCCCUGAGCUAACAUCUGAUGCCAAUCCUCCUCUUUUUGCUGAGGAAGAUCAGCCCUGGGCUAACAUCCGUGCCCAUCUUCCUCUACUUUAUAUGGGAUACUGCCUCAGCAUGGCUUGACAAGCAGUGCGUUGGUGCACUCUGGGGAUCUGAACCCGCGAACCUUGGGCCACUGAAGCACAUCGCGUGCACUUAACUGCUACGCCACCGGGCCAGCCCCCCUACUUCAUUCUUUUUAAUGACUGCACAUUAUUCCAUUCCAUAGAUGUAUUACGAUUUGUUUAAUUACUCUCUGAUGGAUUUUCAAGUUGUUUCCAGUGUUUUGCUAUUGAAAACAAAUUUUUGCUGGAUAUUAUUGCCAUUAUUUUCAAAGAAUAGAUUCUUAGAAGUAUGAUUUCUGGGUCAUAGAGUAUGCACAUUUCUAACAAUUAUAUUCCCACCAACAAUGUAAGAGUGUCUGUUUCUCCACUUUUAAAUCAACCCUAAUCUUUUUAAUUUUGCCAAGCUGAUACAUAAAGAAUGACAACUGACUUAUUUUGACUUGUAUCGCUUCCAUUAUAAAAAUUUUCUCUUAUAUUUCUUUCUCGUAU